GCCUGUGCUAUAUAGAUAGCAUUAUGUUUCAUAUAAAACAAACAUGUAAUUGCAAGAUCAGCCCCAGUUGGGCAAAAGCCAAAAAAGAAAAAAAGAAAAAUUGUGGACUAUCACCAGAAAACAGGUCUGGUCACCCCUAAUGACUUUGUAUUUGGUUAAUUGCUGCCAGGCAUUUCAUCAGUUUGCAUAGUUGAUAUACAUGUGGCACUAAAUUUACAUUUCACCUUUAAAAAUUGAAUAGGACAUUCCCCCAACCUCAAAAUAUAUGUGGUCAAUCUAAAUUUGGCCAGAUUUACCCACAGACACACACACACACACACCAAUUCACAUCGCAUGUAGACCCUAGUCUGCUUUCUAACUUGCUGUCUGUUACAUCACACUGUUAAAAGAGUGGGCAGAGACAGGCUUUAAGUGUGAUUACAGCAAGUAUGAGAUUGAACCUGUUGACUAAUUAGAGCUAUAAAAGGUUACAGACAGAGAGAGAGAGAGAGAAAAAAAAAAGGUCAGGCAAUUAAAACUCCCCAUCAGGCGACCGCAACUCUUUCUGCUCAACUUCACUCUCAGCUACUCCUUAAUCCUCAGUUUGGCACAGCCGCACGUUUGCAGAGAUGCAGAGAUCUUUCUCAAAUAAACUUUCCGGUUCUAGACUGCCAGCAACCUUCCAACCGGGGGGGCAUGUCUCUCUCGGCAUGCCCACAAGAGAGGCGUCUGUGUGGGAUGCAGCGCUGCCAGACCCCCUGCUCAGCCUCUUCAUCAUCCACUUCAACCCCUGUACAGCUCUGGCAGGAAAACUAUGUAAGAAGAGAUGGGAAGGAGAACUGUAGGAGGGGCAGGGAAAACAGAAAAAGAAAAAUAAUUACUUGAAGUCGAAAUAGUGCUCGCUCACGAACUUUCUGCUUGAUGAUCACUUUUCCAUUACAGGGCGGCAUAAGCUUAUACAUCAAAAGCGUAAAUGUUUAUUCAUCUGAUAAAUGACUCUAAAAACAGCCUCUGUUUAUCCUCAACUUCAUCCCCUGAGAACUAAUGUCAACAUCUUUAUUCUUUGCAACUAUGUUGCAGUUAGUGCUUAAUAGAUUGUUAUGAUCUGUGAUCUAUGGAUGGACCUUCAAAUGAAGCAUUGUUCCAUGAACAACAGGUUACUCACAUCUGAGGUGUGCUGUGAGAAAUAACAGGGUGCUAGGUGGGUAGUGCAUAAAUAUACUAAAUAAAAUGUACACAUCCCAAUUUUAUGGUAAAUUGCUCUUAUAUAUAAUUUCUUUUUGACUUACCUGUACCAUUAUUACUUUGUAUGCUUCUUGUACUUUAAGAACGUCAAAAAAAAAAAAAAAAAAAAAAAUAAUAAUAAUAAUAAUAAUAAUAAUAUUAUAUAUAUAUAUAUAUAUAUAUAUAUAUAUAUAUAUAUAUAUAUAUAUAUAUAUAUAUAUAUAUAUAUUAUAUAUAUAUUAUUUAUUUGAUUAUUAUUAUUAUUAUUACACUAUGAUAAAAUAAGAUAAUUCACACUGGUGGAGACUGUGUGGUUGUGUCAGGACCGAUACAGCAUUCAGCUUAUUAAAGAUUAACAGAGAGCAGCACUGGAAUGCCAAGCCUUGUUAAUUCACCUUGAACAUAAUGAGUUCAUGUGAAAUUGCAGCCGCAAAACCCACUUUCUUUUCUUAGCCACAGCUUAAUUUUUGAACAAACUCGUAUUCAUGGAGGAGAUAAAUGCUUAUAUGAGCAUGUAGCAUGUUGUGUUGAGCUCAGUAGAAGAAUAAAUACAUGAACACUAAAACUCUGUGUAUGACAAUACUGAGCGGUAGGAGUUUCAAGGUUUGUGGAUUUUCAGAGAGCCCAUAUUUCAAACAACAAUGCAUGCCCAUCACUAACAAAAAUGAGUACUACUUUAUUAUAACACCUCAUCAUGUAAUCACAGCCACUCGGAGUCUGUGAAUGACACUGAAAAGACUAAAAAUACUGUUGAUGAUUGAGUUCACCAUGUCAAGUUGGUGAAAACCAUUGCGACUAUAUACAUUUUAUAAAGAACUGUACCAUACUCGCUUUUUAAUCAGCUGCUGAAAUGUCAUAUGCUUGACAGAUGUAUUCAUAAACAUGUUUUACCCAAAAUGUCCUGUUCAGGCGAUAGCUUACAUGAGCAACUCAGUGCUGUUAGAAUGGGACAAUAUCAUGAAAAGCACCUGUAACCAUAGUGACAGCGACAAUUUAGCAUUAUCACAAUAGUGUUGUCUUUCAGAAUCAUAAAAGAAUCGAGUCUUUGCUGAGUGCAAUAGUGAGAGUGGUAUAGAUUUCAUGUGACAAUUUAGUAAACAAAAACUUUGAUUAAAUUUCAGUUUCAUUCACAGAUGAUUUGUGUAUUUUUGCUUUGCCAACACAGCUAGUUUCAGCCAAAGUAGAAUCAACUGUUGCUUAUAUCUGUGCAACACAGCUGUGGUGUUACAUUUCUGAAUUGAUCAAUUUAGGUGAAGUGAAUUGGCUCACUCAUAUGCAGUUACUUUAGUUUCUGAAUGAAUCAGUGUAGUUGAACAAAUCAGUUGAGGGAAUGAUUCAAAGACUCACCUUUUUGGUUCAUUAAUGAACACAUUUUAUUUAUUCAUCUACUGGUCUAAUGAUGUGGCUUGAACAAAGUCACACUAACGUCUUAUUUUCAUAUUGAAUACAGUCAAUUAAUGAAUGUAUCCAUAUUUAGCAUUCUAAACCUGACUGACAGCUGCUGCUAUGUGAGCAUACACUAUAUGUAUUGUGUUUCACUUGUUUGUAUGUUCCUCUCAUGAGGGAGGGAGUAUGUGACUAAGCUCAUUCUUAUCUGAAAAUAGUUCAAAUAAAACAUGAAGGUGGAUGGAUAACGGAUGAAACAUCACAAGAGUGAGGUAAGCACUAAUGUAUUUGUGUUGACACUGACAGGGCUAGACAAGCACUUCAGAAAUCAAUUUCUCUUUACUGUUAGCAAAGAGUUUAAAAGUUUUUAACUUUUUUGAUGUCUUCCUUGAAUUUGUACAGAACUCGGAGUCCUCCACACUGUCAGUAUUCGGUGUGAAUGAUGACUCAUUUGUGCAGACGGUCACUUCACAUGUAGGCAGCAAUCACUGUCUGAUGACCUCAGAAUUAUGAAGCAUCAUGAAGCACAUGUGAAACCACCAAAAACUCACUGAAAAUACAGACAUCGACACCCAUCUGUUGAGGGUUUAAAAAUCACACUCCGACGUACACAACCAAAGCACUCUACUUUGAUCUGCAACUAACAACAUCUAGAAAAUUGUUUUGGUUUAUUAUAAUAAGUCCCUGGAAGAAAAUGAAUGCAUGCCAGAAUUGCAGGGCAAACCUGAAUUAUGACUGCAAGAGUUUCCAUAGUGGCCAAAUGUGGACCUCCUGAAGCAACGGCGAAUAAUAAGUAGCGGUGACAUUGAUGGAUGGCCACUCCACAAGGAUAGACACACCAAUUGUUCUUGUGAUAAUGGUUUCUCCUGAAGUGGAUUAAUCAGACCAUCAGACUCUUUUUAUGUGAGUGCAUACAUGUCUCCAUAAAAGAUGGGGAAUGAAUAUUAGACACCAAUCUAACACUCAAGACUUGGCAGACUCUUAAUAGAAAGAGUGGUUAAGGAGGUGUUACAGAUGUUGUUGCCACUGAAACAAUCACGCAAAUAUUUCUAAAUAUGUUUGCAGCCGGGCCUACUGAAUAUACCAGUGCAGUCAAUGUUUUAUCCUUAAUUUAUUGCACAAAGUAAAGCCACUACUCUUUCAUGUUAAACUAAUGGAAAUUUAAUUAUGGAUUCAGGACGAGCCUUUUCAGAAAGCAUUUCAAUAGUUCAGCUAAUCAAGACUUCUUUAACAGUUUAAAUUAACUUUUUGUUAAGGAUGACCUGCUUUGACAAAACCCAGCUCACUAUAGAUUAUGAUGUCUGUCAAGCUCCAUUCGUGGUCAUUCAGACUGAAGCAAGUCCUCAAGGGCAAAGGCAGAAUGCAGAAAGGCCCAUUCUUCAUGCUAUCAAUCUGACCUGGCGAAUUGCAGAUACCAAACUUUCCAAAUUUCCCUAAUGGCGUAUCGUCUGAGUUUUUGAUAGAGAUAUCAAAUACGAUUACUGGAUCAGUUCUUGCUCCUUGGUUUGUGAUCACAAAAUAUGAGAGCUUUAGUGGGAGCAUCAACCAGAUUAACUGCGAAAGCUGUGGGAGUGAUGUCCAAUGAGGUUUUGGGCCCCAAACCAGAAUCUCUGUUUCAUCUGACUUCAGAGCAGAAGUAUUACCUCUGUGUCUGGGAGACACGCUUUCAGCCACAACAGACUGAGUUCUUCAUCUGUUCUCACUGAUAUGUGGAUUGAUGUUCCUCGAGCGACAUGAAAAGCACAUGCGCAAAUUUCCUACUCAAGAUUCGACAUUGAUACCUCAUAAAAAAUUAAGUGCCCCGAAAUUAAACCCCACACUAUACCACUGAGAUUCUUCAUCUAGCGCGACUGGAGGCGUCACUCUAAUUG
rnacentral:lncRNA from 1 species